rnacentral:rRNA from 1 species
GUGCCAGCAGCCGCGGUAAUACGUAGGGUGCGAGCGUUGUCCGGAAUUAUUGGGCGUAAAGAGCUUGUAGGCGGUUUGUCGCGUCUGCUGUGAAAAUUCAGGGCUUAACCCUGGACGUGCAGUGGGUACGGGCAGACUAGAGUGUGGUAGGGGAGACUGGAAUUCCUGGUGUAGCGGUGGAAUGCGCAGAUAUCAGGAGGAACACCGAUGGCGAAGGCAGGUCUCUGGGCCCAUUACUGACCCUGAGAAGCGAAAGCAUGGGGAGCGAACAGGAUUAGAUACCCUGGUAGUCC